GAGAUCCGAGUUCCCAUAUUGUCACCGAAGUUAAGCAACGUUGAGCCUGGUCAGUACCUAGAUUGGUGACCACUUGGGAAUACCAGGUACUGUAA